AGGCGCGGCGAGAGCAGAACAAGACCGGAGAAUGGAGAUGACGAGGACCUCCUGAGAGUCUUGCUUCGGGUCAGGGACGAGGGGCAGCUCGAGGUCCCCAUGGCCACCACAAACAUCAAGGCAGUCAUAGCGGAUAUGUUUGCUGGAGGGACGGAGACGACUGCGUCGACCACGGAGUGGGUCAUGUCGGAGCUCAUAAGGAACCCAUGUGCAAUGGCCAAGGCGCAGAAGGAGGUGCGGUGUGCAUUUGACCACAAGAACCCACAAGACCAUGAGGCACACAUGGAGGAGCUUUGCUACACAAAGAUGGUAGUCAAGGAGGCCAUGAGGCUUCAUCCAGUGGUUCCGCUCCUGCUCCCCCGUGUCUGCAGGGAGACCUGCGACGUCCACGGGCACAGGGUCGAGGAGGGCACCCGUGUCUUCGUCAAUGCAUGGGCGAUGGCGAGGAGCCCCGAGUACUGGCAGGACGCAGAGGAGUUCAGGCCUGAGAGAUUCGAGGACAACGCGGCGGACUACAAAGGCACAAAGCUAGAGUACCUGCCAUUUGGAAGUGGAAGGAGGAUGUGUCCUGGGAACAUCUUUGCAUUGGCCUUGGUAGAACUCGUCGUGGCACGACUUCUAUACUACUUCGACUGGAGCCUCCCUGCCGGAAUGCGGCCGGAUGAGCUAGACAUGGAUACCGUUGUAGGCUUGACGGCAAAGAGAAGCAACCAUCUGCUCCUGGUGGCGUCACCAUAUAAUGUGCUGAUCCAUAAGGAGAUUGAUGACUGCAAAGCUCACUGA
rnacentral:rRNA from 1 species